GCUUACUCUAGGAACAUUGAUCUUGUCGUUCUUUGUCUGCGUGGUAGGUCAACAUCAGCAGCAUAUUAUUCAUCAAUGUCAGAUCUGAAGUUUGUACCAUGCCUUGCUGAUUUCACUAAAGGAUAUUAUCUAUGCAACCCAAUUGGAAUUACAAAGGCUUUCCGUGACUUCACAAACUGCCAUGUCAACCUGACAUGGCAAUAGAUUUUUCAUUCACAAAAGCCAAAUUGCUUCUUAUUUAGGACCGUGAGUCCGAAAGAUAUUCUAUAUUAGAGUCUGUGGCCAUGUGGUGGGAGGCCAAUAUAUCCUUCUGGUUAAGAAGGUCGGUAGGUGCAUUUCCUGCAGUGGAUGUUGAUGAGAAGCCUGGUGUAUCGUGAGUGGAACAUAGUUACCUAGGAAUUGAAGCAAAGAGCAAUUGCGCUACAACUGGCACGCUUAGAUCCUGAGCACAUGACUUCAUCCAUUGGUGGAUGGUAUCAAUCGGGGUACAAUCCCAAAGUGGAGUGAGUUUCUCAGAUAUUGACAGCAUGAAUCGUAAGAAAUAUUCGCAUUUCUCGUCUGUAGUGUUAGGGGUGUAACAUAUCUGGGGGAGGAAAGACCAAUUGUGUCCAUCUGACAUGGCUAGAUGUUGGGCAGAAGACUUCAUCCAUAAGUGAACUAAAUAGAUAUCAACUUGUUUAUUGAUUGGCACCUAGGUCUGAAAGGUAUUCUUAUGGUAUAGGGCAUAGGUAUUCUUCUGUUUUCCAAAAUGAGCCUUAAUAAGUUUGUAUGUCUUAAUUAGGUUAUUUGUGGGUGGAAAUCGUCUUGACAGCAGUGGCCAUAGGACAUGAAAUAGAAAAUGUGAACCAUUCGAUGAAACAGCAAAAUGAUCAAGAACUAUUAAUGCAGGACAAAUUACUGAGGAAUUGUCUGGAUAAGAAAAUAAUCUGUUCGAACCGUAAUUUACAUCAUGGAUUGUUGAUAUCAAUAAGGAACAUGGAUAAUGCAACCUAGUUAAAUGGAUUGUAUGCAUAUCAUACCAUGGAUAUUGAAGUCGAUUUUGGUUUGCAUCAAAUUUCCCUACGAAUGGGGAGAGCAGCAUUAACCUGUACGCGGCUGGUGGUUUGCAGAAAACGUAAUGGUAGAUAUCUUUCAUCAACAUAUUUUACAUCAAUAUAUUGAUAAUGAAAUAUACUGGUAUUAA